rnacentral:rRNA from 1 species
AGUAGUUUACUACAGAAAAUGACUGAGCGGCGAACGGGUGAGUAACGCGUGAGCAACCUACCUUAGUUACUGGGAUAGCCCGAGGAAACUCGGAUUAAUACCGGAUAUUCUUAUUUAAUCACAUGAUUUUUUAAGGAAAGGUCAGCCGAACUAAGAUGGGCUCGCGUUCUAUCAGCUAGUUGGUAGGGUAAUGGCCUACCAAGGCUACGACGGAUAGCUGGUCUGAGAGGACGAUCAGCCACACUGGGACUGAGACACGGCCCAGACUCCUACGGGAGGCUGCAGCAGGGAAUAUUGCGCAAUGAGCGAAAGCUUGACGCAGCGACACCGCGUGUGGGAUGACGGAUCUAGGUUUGUAAACCACUUUCAGGAGGGAAGAAAAUGACGGUACCUCCACAAGAAGCCCCGGCCAACUACGUGCCAGCAGCCGCGGUAAUACGUAGGGGGCGAGCGUUGUCCGGAUUUAUUGGGCGUAAAGAGCUCGUAGGCGGUUCAACAAGUCGGUCGUGAAAGUUCAGGGCUCAACCCUGAAAUGUCGAUCGAUACUGUUGUGACUAGGAUACGGUAGAGGUGAGUGGAAUUCCGAGUGUAGCGGUGAAAUGCGUAGAUAUUCGGAGGAACACCAAUUGCGAAGGCAGCUCACUGGGCC